CAGAAGGCCGACAUAGGCGUAUCCGAUGGAUUGAGACACGGCCAAUACAAAAAAACAUAUUUCAAUCUUAAACAGACGGAUUUUGAUUUUGAUAAUAUUAUGUUAUUUAGGGCUUGGGGGAUGAGGGUUUGGGGGCUGAGGGCUUGGGGGAUGAGGGCUUGGAGGUUGUGGGCCUGGGGGCUGAGGGGGAUAGAUGGGUAUGGGAUGUGAAUGGUGGGAGGGUUUAAGCAGGCAUAGCCAAUCAGGGCAGGUUAUAGGGAAACCAUCAUGUUCACAUUUUCCCAGUAACUAACUCUAACUCCUGGGCCCUUCAUGUAGAUCUGAAAGGAUUAGUAAUGACUCAAAGCCAUUUGAUGAAUGUGCUGUAUUGCUUACACCUUUCAGAUCUGUCUAAGUGCCUAUAGGGGAGAGGAGCUGUAGGGACCAUAUGGACAAUAGGCAGGAAUAAAACAGAGCCAGCGGUGACUCUGUGUACGAGUUGAUUCAACAAUGAUGACCCUAAAUAUCCUGUAAGGAAAGAGCACCAGGACACUAGCUCUAUAUGAACCAGUCCAAUUAAAAUAUGUGGAUGUUCAGACAGCAUGAAACAUGAAUAGCAUGAAAGAAAAUCACUAUUUCAUGUUUACUGGGAACCAUUUAUUAGUGUGUUCUUGUGGCAAUGACAUACUGUACAUGUUACAUGCACGUACUGUAUUGAUCUGUAUUUGUGCGUAUGCAUGUGCGUGUAUAUACACUUCUGAGUUAUGUCUGUUGUCCAGGGAUUCCUCUGGAUGCUGGUGUGUGUGUGUGUGUGUGUGUGUGUGUGUGUGUGUGUGUGUGUGUGUGUGUGUGUGUGUGUGUGUGUGUGUGUGUGUGUGUGUGUGUGUGUGUGUGUGUGUGUGUGUGUGUGUGUGUUACCUGCGAGUUAUGCCUGCUGUCCAGGCCAUCCUCAGAGUGCUGUCCCUCAGGACUCCAGUUGCCUACUCUCUGGGACAUCUCCUGAGCCCGCACUGUCACCCACGACUGGCUCUCUGGAACCCCCCUCCACCGGUCUACAACACACAGACAGUCAGACAGGCCCCUCGCACACACACACACCACCUCCCUCCACCGGUCUACAACACACACGGAUAGACAAACACUGACACACGCAUGCAUACACACAAACCAGGCCCCAUAUACAUCACCUUCAUCAGACCCAUGCAUUCAGCACUUGUAUGAGGCUAACUGAAUGCACUCAUCCCCACAAACCCAUACACCAGCCUUUCUGAACCCACUACACACGCACAUACACAUACACACAGUGGUCCUCUACACGUGAGGCGUGUCCGCCCAGCGUGUCGUCCUGCUCCUCCUUCUCAUGGAUGACACUCCACCUGUGGAGCCACUACCCAUCCUCCCUCUGGCUGCAAAGAAAGAGGGAGAGAGAAAACAGAGAGAGAGGGAGAGGACAGAGAGACCCAGAGAGAGAGAGUUGGAGGGGGGGGACAGGGGUCUACUCACAGGCUGUUGACGGGGUCUGCCGGUUGGGUAGGAGGGAGGCUGAGAGGCCCGUCCUGGAUGGGGGAGGGCGGCUCCACGCGCUGAAACAGUAAUGUCGUUCGAUUCUGUGUGAGAUACAACAUGGCCGCUGGCUUUAAGGUAGACAUACAGGAAAUGGGGAAGGUGGAGAAGAAAGUGAGUUCAGAGCAGGUCACAGCAUCCAGGGGGGAGGAAGGGUUUCAGUCAGCAGGGGCUGACUGAGCCAGAGCGCAUUCUGGGAGGGGAGUUGGAGUCCUGCUGUAAAUGUGAGAAUGGAAGGCUCAUGCCAAUGACUCAUCUACUUCCAGGUCACCAUGAAUGAAGGGCAUUAACCAGAGCCUUAGCCACUGUAUAUGACCUACAGUAUACAGUACCUAGCUAUGGAUUAGGAAGUGUUCCGUUGGAUGCUACAAAGAGGUCUGGAUUUGUCUGGCAUUAAUUAAGGUCUUUGUCUACAGUAUUUUUUAUCUUAUCAGACAAUUUGCAUGUUGCUCAUAGGAACACAUCUCAAAUGACACACUAUUUCUGAUUUUCACCUAGGCUUUGAUUCAAAAGAAGUGCACUAUAACAUGAAAAGGGUGCCAUUCAAUACACAACCCAUUCGACAGGAUGGACAGUGUUUACCUCUUGACCUGAUUGGAUUUCAACCUUGACAUUUGACCCCCAUUUGACCUCAAGCAGCCAAAUGAUCACUAUCGGCAACCAGGAAAUUAGAGUUGGUGGGUGCAGUUUGAGCCAGUCAAACAAUCCAUCAGAGCAGUAGAACAGCAAGACCAGGGAGGGAAUAAGGAAAAGUUGAACAAGGCAGAACAUCAGUGCAAAACCAAUGGACAGAUCCAUCAGGAAGAGAACAUUCCAAGUUUCUGUUGAAAACAGACGUUGACACAUAAGGAGAGGAGGGAGAAUAGUCAGGAAAUAAUAUAAAAAUGAUGAUAGAGAAAGGAAGACAGGAGAGGAUGAGAAAAGGAAAGAAUAGAGGUAGAAGUCCAUGUGAGCGAAUAUCGAGAGAGAAAGGGGACACAAGGAGGGAUAGAGGAAGGAUGAAAAAGAGAGAGGAAGACGAGGACUAGGAGUAGAAGGGGUCUUUGUAGAAGGGGUCUACAUAGAACCCAAAGGGGUUCUACAUGGAACCAAAAGGGUUAUAUCUGGAACCAAAAAGGGUUCAUCAAAUGGUUCUCCUAUGGGGACAGCUUAAGAACUCUUUUAGGUUCUAGAUAGCACCUGUUUUUCUUAGUGUAGGUGAAAUGCAUGGUGGGAGUAAGUGUGUUCAAAUAACCACAUACAGUGUCAUUCAGUUAUUACACAUCCACUUAAAACUGACCAACUGCUACUUUUAUGUCCGUAAGAUAUCUGGGCAAAAUGUUGUUGGGCCGCAUUUGGUUUCCUGCUGUGGGCCGUAAACCAUGCCGGCAGUGGGCCACUCCUGGGCCAGUAUAUACUUGCUAGCUGGAAUGGAUUAUCAAUGGUAAGUAGCUGUUUUGGUUUAAGGAUUUCACGAGCCAUGGAGGGUCAAGUUUAAAGUGGAUGGAUCACAAAGGUUCCAGGUCACACAAGGAAAUAGCACACAAAUAUUUUUCCAAACAAUAUUUGUCCAAUUGUCAUUUCUAAACACUUGGAACAGUUAUUGUCCGAACCUGAACCGUUCGAAGCAAGGGUAUUCCCAUUCUCCAGGUCCCACCCCUAGUCUCACAUCAUGACAAACCACAUGCUUAUCUACGGCAGCAAGCUCUACCUGGAAUCAUGCAGGGAAGAAACUCUCAUCACUGGGAUAGACGCUACCCUACACUAUGUCUCUCCUUACCAAACACUAUGGUAAUAAUACUGUCUGAGAUGGUGCAAGGGGGAGGGAAGUCCACUCCUCUGCUCCUGUCCUUCUGUAAGCAAGUAGCAGCAGGGGUGGGGGAGGGAAGGAGGGGAAGAGAGGUGAAGGCGCAAGGGGGAGGAGAGUGAGGGGCAGCUCAGUAAGAGGAGGUGUAGAGAGGGGUACAGGGGAGAGGGGAGAGGAUGUGUAGGGGUAAAGGGUGGGAGAGCAGACAUUGGCUGGAGAGCAGGAUGGGUGACGAUUAGAUGAGGAUGUGUCAGUGACAUCAUCAAUGUUUGAUAACAUUCAUUGCUCAAGAAACUCCAGUUCGUGAGUGUUUGUGCUCUGUACAUGUUUGUGAUCAUGGGUAAGUACACCUUGGGAGCAUUAGAGUAAAAGCACAAGGACCAGCUGGGUGGUAUGGUUGUGGUAUGGUUGUGGUUGUGAAUGAAGACCAUGAAGACAUGGUCACGGUCAAAAGUUCAAUGACUUGACUCUAAGUAUUGGGUGACCAACUCUUGAGUCUUCUCAGCUUGUCUUAUGAGUCUUCCAUUGUAGUUCGACAGGUGAUAGAGGGUGGUUUCUACAGUUGUUUAGAUGGUAUCUCCAUGAUAGCUCCAUCAUGUUCCUGAGGAGUUCCUGUGACUUGUCCAAUCAAACUAUCCCCUGACUCAUACUGUAGGUCCCAUCCAACCAACUCUUCAAAAAGCAUGUACGUAUACAAAUCUAUACACAUGGCUAAGGCAGGUUUGAGGUCAGUUUUUAAAGCUCAGACAGAGCCAGACUCUCUCAACUAACUCCUAGAUCUUUCAAUAUCCUGCCUCUCUCACGCCCUUCACCUCAUGUGUCAGAGAAAAAGAGUUAAGAUCAUUGUUUAAACGUUGAAUUUAGUGACUAUCCCUUCAAGACCAACCUCUUCCUUGUGCUAUCCUACAAGGAAGGAAUGCCAGAUGGCAGCAAUGAAGUCAUGAGGAAUUGAUAUGGCUGAGAGUUGUGUGUAGAGUGGUGGCAGGUGGCCAUAGCAGAGCAGGGAAAGUGGCAUGCUUAGAGUGCAAUGAGAGAGGAGGAGUAGGAGGAGAGGAGGAGUAGGACUCUGUCUGUAAAAUAGGAAACCGUGCAUGUGUGUGCGUGAGAAAUACAAAUAAAACAAAUAAAACAAUCUCUGUAAUUGAAAACGUCAUCUUUUACUUUACACUUAAAUUGUUUCUGUAACUGUGUUACAAAUACUGCUACAAUUUUAACGUUUUAUCGUCAGUGGCUUCACAUGUGACUACAAGAUCCACUGUAUUGGUUGUAUAUGCAUUCUCUCUGUCAACAGGGAAUAGGGGGCUACAGUGCAAUGCUACAGUCCAGGGUGUAGGGCAACAGUCCAAGGCCAGGAUGUGGCUAAAGGCUUGGGAAGACUAGCAUCAUCAUCAUCAUCAUCAUCAUCAUCAUCAUCACUAGCAGUGGAUUCACAGCCAGGGAAAGGGAGGAUAAAGAGAAACAGGCUUAGGUGAGGAAUGUACAUUAACGUCGUACAGUCUUCGCCAUCCAGAGCUGUGACAAAGACACCCAGCCCAAACCAAUCCAAAGAUGAUCGAGAGGGUUCUCUAUAGCAAGAAAAGUGCCUCUUCUUUAGAAAUAAUCGUGAUUCAGAAUUAUAUAAUUGUGCUUGAAAUAUAAUCUGCUGGUUUUCUGUAUAGAUGCUCUAGCAAUAAUAUAAUAUCAUAUAAAAAUGUAUCGUAAUUUCCGGACUAUUAAGCGCACCUGAAUAUAAGCCGCACCCACUGAAUUUAAAAAAAUAUAUUAUUUUGAACAUAAAUAUUUUUUUUAUUUUGAACAUGUCUAUAAGCCGCAGGUGCCUACCGGUACAUUGAAACAAAUGAACUUUACACAGGCUUUAACGAAACACGGCUUGUAACAAAAAUAAAUAGGCUUUAACGAAACACGGCUUGUAACAAAAAUAAAUAGGCUUUAACGAAACACGGCUUGUAACAAAAAAUAAAAAAUUAGCAGUAAGCUUUAGUUGUCUUUUUGCACUGAGUCAAUUCCUCACGCUGCUGUUUCCAACGUCUUAUCAACGACUCAUUAAGACCAAGCUCCCGUGCAGCAGCUCUAUUUCCUUUUCUAACAGCCAGAUCAAUCGCCUUCAACUUGGAAGCUGCAUCAUAUGCAUUUCAUAUGCAUGUCUUUGCCAUGAUGAGGGUGACAAAAUGACUACUGUAAUCAGAAUGAUGGGAAGUUUGAGAGCGCUCGAUUUAAUCUAAACAGUAAACAAAAAAGUUGUUUGACGUUAACCCGUUCGGCAAUUACAUUGGUCUAAUGAAAGCUUCAUGCCGUCAAAAAACUGAGCACGUCACAGAAUGUGUUUUUUUGGAAAAAAAAAAUUGAAAGCGGGAAAAAUCCAUAUAUUAGCCGCGUCAUUGUUUAAGCCGCGAGGUUCAAAUCUGGGAAAAAAGUUGCGGCUUAUAGUCUGGAAUUUACAGUAAUAUAACAUGGACCAGUGACAUACUUUGUCCACCAGAGGGCCUCACAGAGUUUUAUACCGACUAACUGCAGAGAUAGAUAGGAAGGAAGGGAGGAUGGAAGAACACUGAGAGACAAGACUAGAGUGGGUAAACCCAAUGGCAGUGGUCCUCUAACCUUUGACCUCUAACCAUUAGCCAGGUGAGGUCAAUGAUAACAAGUGACCUUACAAUAACGUAGUAAGUAAAUGCUAUAGUAAGACUGUGGAUGGGUGUGGUUAUGGGUUGUCACAGCUCCGCUUUGACCCCUGUACUAACAGCACAGCAGUAUUUCUAGUCAGUCUGACUCUGCCCUCAGUCAGUCUGCGUUGUCUGAAGGUUUGGGGAUGGUUCCUAGGGACAGUAGUUGUACCUGCUCCGCCUCUAGACGCGCCUGAGAGCGCUUGGCCUUGCUCUGCCUGUAGUACUCCAUAAUCAUCAUGGCAGCGUAGAUCUUCCCCACCGUCAGGUCUGUUGCUGCUGAGAGAGGGACAAGUUACCCUGCACGAUUAGACCACUACAUAUGGGACCCUGAGCGAGAGGGAUGGGAGUAGAGGGGACGAGGCACGCACACAGAGAGAGAGACACACACUCACACAGACAAAUACACACAUAUACACGAACACAGAGCUGAUAGUCUUUUCACAAACAGACUCAGACUAAAAAAUGAUCAUGUGUCACAUUUUCUCUGUUUAACUGUUGUCUUUCUUUCUUUACAUCUUUUCUAGCCAUAUCUGUAUUUCUACUGACUGGUGGUCUUCAAUCAGAAGACAAGACUCAAGACCACUUCAUUGUGUAGAUGGGGGACCUGGCAGAGGACUGGACAGUACCAACAGAACUACUGGGGCUGUUUUGAUGCUGUUUUGGCAUUCUGAUGUAGGACCGAUGGUUCCCCCUUUACUUCUCAAUAGAAGGUGGACAUCUUGUACUUAGUUCAAUUUGGACCUUGUACUUUGUUAUCUCCAAACAGUUAAACAAAACAGAGCUUCAGAAUAUAAAAAAGUGCGAUAACAGUCUUUGAAAGAGUCAUUUCCAGGUUUCAACAGCAGAUCACAUCUUCACAAUAAAAGGGCCUAACGUCCAGUUCAAAAAAGUGUGUUCACAACAUUAUGCUAUUGGCCAUUUCUGUACUCCGCUCACCAGCAUGCUAAAUUACCACACAUUUUAUUUCAACUUGGUUUGAACGUUAUUAGCAGGGCAAGGAAGCCUGUGCAUUCUGGUAAAAUUUGGUACAAUUAGCAAUCUGGUGAGUAGCUAUAACGCACCUGACCCAGAUGCCUUUACCUAUACUGUAAAUCAUGUUUCCUUUCAUAUAAUAUACAUCUAAUAUCUACAUAGCAACUAGUGCUUUGGCACUUGUGCAUUCCUUCUAGUCUUGUAUGUAUUUCUCCGACAUGCAUAGCAGCCAGUGUUCUGACCUACAGUAGCACUGUAUGAACUAAACCCCUGGAGUGUUCUGACCUACAGUAGCACUGUAUGAACUAAACCCCUGGAAUGUUCUGACCUACAGUAGCACUGUAUGAACUAAACCCCUGGAGUGAAAAGACUACUAUAGAGAGUUGGUCUAUAGAGAGGCACCCCCUGAUCUCAGGCACAGAUCUGGGCAGACAGCCUGCUGGUAUUGGAUCCGGUGGAGGUGUGAUGUUGGGUCUACAGAACAGGCCUGGAAUCAGUGGAAUGGGCUGUUGGAAGUAUUGCAUUGGGACUUUAGGAUGAGGCCUGCUGUGUACAGUUGUUAGGUUGGGUGGAGGUGUGAUAUGGGUGCAAGAAAAGAGGUCUAUAUGGGUGUGUGGGGACUGGGGCUGGGGGGUGGUGGAUGGGGUACAUGGCCUGCUGUAGGGAAAUGGGGCUAGGGAUGGUGGAGGUGGAUGGGGUACAUGGCCUGCUGUAGGGAAAUGGGGCUAGGGAUGGUGGAGGUGGAUGGGGUACAUGGCCUGCUGUAGGGAAAUGGGGCUAGGGAUGGUGGAGGUGGAUGGGGUACAUGGCCUGCUGUAGGUAAAUGGGGCUAGGGCUGGUGGAGGUGGAUGGGGUACAUGGCCUGCUGUAGGGAAAUGGGGCUAGGGCUGGUGGAGGUGGAUGGAGGCUGGAGAUGAAGGUCUAAAAUUAGGUGUGUCGUCUUCGAGGAUUGGACUGGUGAGAAUCAUGGGAUCCUGUGUGUGUGUGUUGGUGUUGGUAUGUGUGUAUGUGUACAUAAUAAGUGUGUGUGUGUGAUUGUGUGUGUGUGUGUGUGUGUGUGUGUGUGUGUGUGUGUGUGUGUAGGGGGCUGUGCCUGCUGUAUCAGAGGGUGCAGCAGUGAAGGAGACUGGUUGAGAGAAGCUGUCCUCGGGUGGCAUGAAGAAGUAGACAGACACUGGCAUUGCGUCGCGGUCCAAACACACUGCAACUUACACUUAUGUGGCGUGACUAAGAGGUCCAGGGUCUUCUGGGAGAGAUUGGGCCAAAUCGCCAUCAUCUCUUUCCUCAGCUCUGCAUCCAUCUGGUGUUUGUCCACACCUCCUACACACACGCAAUGACACACACACACACACACACACACACACACACACACACACACACACGCACGCACGCACGCACGCACGCACGCACGCACGCACGCACGCACACACACACACACACACACACACACACACACACACACACACACACACACACACACGCACACACACACACACGCACACACGCACACAAGCAGGCACACGCACACAAGCAGGCACACACACACACAUGCACCAGUGUAUACACACACAUAUAAUAGCAACACACACAUAAACACACACAUUCACAUCGAUACAAAUACACAGCAGAGCCAUAGAUGUGUAAGAAUUGACGCACAGACAUGAAAACACACACAAGCACACAGACACAAGAGAAUGUGUUUGUUAAUAGAGGUGAGCCUUGACUCCAAGUUUAAAUGUAUAGUGUGGAUGAGCCAUGUAACACAGAGACAUGGGGAUUAAAUAGUAUGUCUGGCCAUCUUCACUUUGAUUGGGCCAACCAAAUAAAGUGAGACUCAAUUACAUUGAAACUAUGAUUGUUAAUUCACAUAAGAACUCUACAAAGUCUACAAAAAAAGAGCUGUAGCCUAUUAGAAACCCUAUUACACUGACAGUAUGGCUGGUAGUACACAUUCAAUUCUAUUGGUUAAUAAGAACUAUACAAACUCUAUAGAAAAAGAGCUGUACUUAGGACACCGUGGGAGAAGCAGAGGGACCGAUGUAGGUCUCAGGGACAGCAGGGUACACACGAUACACAACCACCUUACAGUAGCAGACUGCCCUGCUCUGUUCUAGGGAAGACAAGAAACAGGGGGAAGAGAUGGUGAAAAGGGCAAGCAGGAAAGAGGGGUUCCAAACCUUCCGUACCCUUGGCGAUCUUGAUGUCCAGCGCCGUGCGGAUCAGGGCCAUCAGGGUGGAGUUGAAGUGGACUGAGUUGUCGUCGGCGACCGGGAGGUCCAUCCGCAGCAGCCUCUGUUGGAAAGAGCCAAUCGGGGGAAGGUGGGUGAGUAAAAAGGGUGUGUCCCCCAGGAAGUGGUGGUGUAGGUGUGUUCUGAACCUCCAGGUGAGGAGACAGGGAAAGGGGGUUGGUGGCGGGGAGCUCUGUCAUUUUUUGUAGCAGGCUCUAUGAGUCUGUCUGUCUAUCUGUACGUCUGUCAACUAUACAAUGUGUCAUUGGCACUGCUACACCAGUUAUGGCAGCUGUUCGGCAGCUGAGUUGUUAUUAGGUACUGUCAGUACCAAAAAGAUGUAAACAUUGAUACUUCAGUUAUUUGAUCCUUUCAUGGCGGUGGCAAAUGAUACCAUGAUUUAUUUACAGCCUGUGAGAGCCAAAGGUAUAAAAAGGUUAACAUUACACUACCACUACUGAUUACUAUGAGUUGGUUGGUUCCUCUUGUGGGUGUUACCUUGUUCAUGUCUGUACACAGAUAUGAAUAACAGUCCUUGUUGUGUUACUUAGGAGGACCUCACAGGUUCAGUAGUGUCACAGCAUUAUUUACGCCUUCUCUGAUAGCAGGUGUAGAAUGAAGUUAGACUCUGAUCCAAUGUCAGCUUUGUGCGUUUUCCCCUUGAAUGGUUUAGUUCAGGAUUAUGGGAUAUUAAUCUGAUUCUAGAUCAGUAAGAGCAGACAGCUGGCUGCCACUAACAGAGCUCCCCGUAGUGGAUAGGAGAUUCACAGAGUUCAACAGAGACCAGGCCAUAAAGCGAUAAACCAAAACUGAGGGACAGGGGGAGGGAAACGUCAUCGUUUUCAUUUAUCCUUUAUCCACCUUCUGGUCUUGUCAAUAUAAGAGAAAUGGACACGAGCCAACACAUACACACGCACAGACAACACACACAGACAACGUGACGUUAGUGUGUGUGAGACAGGCUCGCGGUAACCGUUGUCACGGCGACAUCCCAGACAUGCAGCAAGACCAUGCCAACCACUCCGCUCCCCUACCCCAAAACCCUGUGACACA
rnacentral:lncRNA from 1 species